GUGCUUGCUUCAACAGCACAUAUACUAAAAUUGGAACAACAGAGAAGAUUUGCACGGCCCCUGCACAAAGAUGACAUGCAAAUUUGUGAAGCAUUCCAUGUUUUU
ensembl:snRNA U6 U6 spliceosomal RNA